AUUGAACGCUGGCGGCAGGCUUAACACAUGCAAGUCGAGCGGAGAUGAGGUGCUUGCACCUUAUCUUAGCGGCGGACGGGUGAGUAAUGCUUAGGAAUCUGCCUAUUAGUGGGGGACAACAUUCCGAAAGGAAUGCUAAUACCGCAUACGUCCUACGAGAGAAAGCAGGGGAUCUUCGGACCUUGCGCUAAUAGAUGAGCCUAAGUCGGAUUAGCUCGUUGGUGGGGUAAAGGCCUACCAAGGCGACGAUCUGUAGCGGGUCUGAGAGGAUGAUCCGCCACACUGGGACUGAGACACGGCCCAGACUCCUACGGGAGGCAGCAGUGGGGAAUAUUGGACAAUGGGGGGAACCCUGAUCCAGCCAUGCCGCGUGUGUGAAGAAGGCCUUAUGGUUGUAAAGCACUUUAAGCGAGGAGGAGGUUACUGAGACUAAUACUCUUGGAUAGUGGACGUUACUCGCAGAAUAAGCACCGGCUAACUCUGUGCCAGCAGCCGCCGUAAUAC
rnacentral:rRNA from 1 species